rnacentral:antisense_RNA from 1 species
AGUGUUCGAGAAUGUGCCGACAAAUUGGUGAUAGAACUUACGUCAUCUUCAAUUUCCGGUGUUGAUUUAAAGUUUCCCAUCAAAGACUCAUUUAUAUCGUUAGCUAUAACUUCCGUUCUUGAUUCAGUGACUAAAGUCUUAUCAUUACUGUGAUUCUGUUCAUCUUCAUUUUCUACUAAAGGAUUUUUGUUUAGUUCUGAAGAGUCAUCUUUAUUAUCACUCUUUUGUUCGGGUCCG